rnacentral:rRNA from 1 species
GGGAAUCGGAACACAGGUGCUGCAUGGCUGUCGUCAGCUCGUGUCGUGAGAUGUUGGGUUAAGUCCCGCAACGAGCGCAACCCUUAUCAUUAGUUGCUACGCAAGGGCACUCUAAUGAGACUGCCGGUGACAAACCGGAGGAAGUGGGGAUGACGUCAAGUCCUCAUGGCCCUUAUGGGUAGGGCUUCACACGUCAUACAAUGGUCGGUACAGAGGGUUGCCAAGCCGCGAGGCGGAGCCAAUCCCACAAAGCCGAUCGUAGUCCGGAUUGUUCUCUGCAACUCGAGAGCAUGAAGUCGGAAUCGCUAGUAAUCGCAGGUCAGCAUACUGCGGUGAAUACGUUCCCGGGUCUU